rnacentral:rRNA from 1 species
GACGAACGCUGGCGGCGUGCUUAACACAUGCAAGUCGAACGGAAAGACCCUGCUUUUGUGGGGUGCUCGAGUGGCGAACGGGUGAGUAACACGUGAGUAACCUGCCCUUGACUUUGGGAUAACUUCAGGAAACUGGGGCUAAUACCGGAUAGGAGCUCCUGCUGCAUGGUGGGGGUUGGAAAGUUUCGGCGGUUGGGGAUGGACUCGCGGCUUAUCAGCUUGUUGGUGGGGUAGUGGCUUACCAAGGCUUUGACGGGUAGCCGGCCUGAGAGGGUGACCGGCCACAUUGGGACUGAGAUACGGCCCAGACUCCUACGGGAGGCAGCAGUGGGGAAUAUUGCACAAUGGGCGGAAGCCUGAUGCAGCAACGCCGCGUGCGGGAUGACGGCCUUCGGGUUGUAAACCGCUUUCGCCUGUGACGAAGCGUGAGUGACGGUAAUGGGUAAAGAAGCACCGGCUAACCACGUG